rnacentral:rRNA from 1 species
GUCCACGCCGUAAACGAUGGGUGCUAGGUGUGGGAGGUGUCGACUCCUUCCGUGCCGCAGCUAACGCAUUAAGCACCCCGCCUGGGGAGUACGGCCGCAAGGCUAAAACUCAAAGGAAUUGACGGGGCCCCCGCACAAGCAGCGGAGCAUGUUGUUUAAUUCGAUGCAACGCGAAGAACCUUACCAGGGCUUGACAUGCACUGGAAAACCGUAGAAAUACGGUCCUCCUUCGGGACCAGUACACAGGUGGUGCAUGGCUGUCGU